AUUGAACGCUGGCGGCAGGCCUAACACAUGCAAGUCGAACGGUAGCACAGAGAGCUUGCUCUCGGGUGACGAGUGGCGGACGGGUGAGUAAUGUCUGGGAAACUGCCCGAUGGAGGGGGAUAACUACUGGAAACGGUAGCUAAUACCGCAUAACGUCGCAAGAUCAAAGUGGGGGACCUUCGGGCCUCACACCAUCGGAUGUGCCCAGAUGGGAUUAGCUAGUAGGUGGGGUAAUGGCUCACCUAGGCGACGAUCCCUAGCUGGUCUGAGAGGAUGACCAGCCACACUGGAACGGAGACACGGUCCAGACUCCUACGGGAGGCAGCAGUGGGGAAUAUUGCACAAUGGGCGCAAGCCUGAUGCAGCCAUGCCGCGUGUAUGAAGAAGGCCUUCGGGUUGUAAAGUACUUUCAGCGGGGAGGAAGGCGGUGAAGUUAAUAACUUCACCGAUUGACGUUACCCGCAGAAGAAGCACCGGCUAACUUCGUGCCAGCAGCCGCCGUAA
rnacentral:rRNA from 1 species